AGACUUCUUGUGUCGACAUCCAUCAAUUUGUACGCAUCCAUCCAAGUGAUACUACUUUACUGUGGAGUUUGAAGCCAGGGAGUCGAGACAGGCAGUGCAGCAACUGCGGCAGCACCCGGGAGCAGCAGCACCUCUUCGCGCGGCUCUUUUGUCCAUAACUUGUCACCAUGUCCAAGUGGAAGCCUUCCUAUGACAGCAGUCACAAGUACAACACCAAAUGGGAAAAAAACAUUUGUUUGGGUCAAGAAGGCAGCAGAUGGCUCAGAGGACGCUUACUGCAAAUUGUGCCACUGCACCAUUUUGCCAAGAACGAGCAACCUUCACAACCACGAGAAAUUUAUUUUUAUUUUUUAUUUUAUUUUUACAUUUAUAUCCCGCUCUUCCUCCAAGGAGGCCAGAGUGGUGUACUACAUACUUAGGUUUCUUCUCACAACAACCCUGUGAAUUAGGUUAGGCUGAGAGAGAAGUGACUGGCCCAGAGUCACCCAGCUAGUAUCAUGGCUGAAUGGGGAUUUGAACUCGGGUCUCCCCGGUCCUAGUCCAGCACUCUAACCACUAUACCACGCUGGCUCAACAGAAAAGCACAAGCAGAGAGUUCCCUCACAAGGACAGCUGCAACUCAAUGUAACAAAAGCUCCCAGCCAACUUAAUUAGAAGAUUAAAGCAGCAGAUCUGCAAAUAGCUGUGAGCAUGACUUGCCAUUGUGCGAUACGUUCAGUUGACCACAUGACCGAGAUCAUGGCAGCACAAGGGAAGUGGAGCACACUGGAGCACAUAAAGCUACGUAGAACAAAAUGCUCCUGCUUGAUCCAAAAUGUUAUCUCGCCUGCACUUAAGAAAGAGCUCAUUGCAGACUUAAAGGACAAGAAAUAUGCUCUCCUUGUAGAUGAAUCAACUGACCGCAACACAAAGACACUUGUGCAUGCUAGUUCGAUUCUUCAGUGAGAGGAAGAAGGGAAUUGUGACUGAAUUUGUCGGUUUGCUUCCGGUUCAAGAGGCCACAGGAGAAAAUAUCUUUAAUUUGAUUGAUCAGGAGAUAAAAAGAUUUGGCCAGACUCUUGCAAAUUGCAUUGGUUUUGCAUCAGAUGGUGGAUCUAACAUGAUUGGGUGCAACAACUCAGUGUGUUCAGGACUAAAAGAAGAAUCUCCUUCCAGUGUUCAAUUCAGAUGCAUUUGUCAUUCACUGGCACUGUGCAUUCAACAUGCAACAUCCAAGCUGCCAUCAAAUAUUGGAUUUCUGCUGUCAGAAAUACCCCGUUGGUUCCUCAAAAGUGAUUUGAGGCAAGAGGCAUUCAAACAGCUGUUCAGAGUGAUGAACACAGCCACAGAAUUUGCGCCUACCCGAACUGCUCCCCUCCCCUUCAAAAAACCUUCAGCUACACGGUGGCUUGUGUGUGGAAAGGUCAUGUACAACAUUCUGAUGAACUGGGAGGAGCUGAAGGCUUAUUUCACCGCUGCUGAACUAGCCCAAUGCACACCUGACACUAAAUUCAAAGCCAGACUCCUGAAGGAAUUGCUGUGGGACUACAAAAACUACUUAUUCUUUGAGUUUGCAACACCUGUUGUGCAGGAAUUUGAAAGACUGAACAGCUCCUUUCAGCAAACCAAAGCUGACCCUCAUGAUCUGCACGAACAGUUAUUCCAACACCAGAAGAGUCUGCAGAUCAGACUGCAUGAUGCCAGAGGGUAGAAAAAAAAGAUUCAUCAAGUUGAUUUGGGGGUCAAAUUCCUAACAGCUUGUAAUAAGUUCCUGCAGGAGAAUAAGAACAGUGCUGAGGCUCGUCUAGAAAUAGACGAUGUCAAAGGGAGAUGUCUGUCCAUGCUGGAAGAAGCUCUGAACCAGAUCACACAUUGACUUCCAUCAGCCAGAGACACAUUUAGAGGCCUAUCAAAACUGUGCCCUGUGAUAGUCUUGAAUCAAGCUUCAAGGCCUAUGUUUUCAGAGUUGCCAUUCAUACAGCUGCUUGCAGGAAAUGACAUCUGCACAACUGAAGAGUAGUACAGAAAAUUGCCUUUUGUCGAGUGGAAAGAAGAACCUGAAUUCGAGAAAGAUGGACUACCGACAGACACUGAAAAGUUUUGGCUUGGUGUCUUCCAGCAUCUGGCUUUUAAAGAGCUGGCCAACUUCGCCCUGACAUAUUUAUUUUAUUUAUUAUUUAUUUAUUUGAUUUCUAUACCACCCUUCCAAAAUGGCUCAGGGUGGUUUACUUGCCUGACAACCCCUGUCAGCAAUGCUGCAGUUGAGAGGGUAUUCUCCCUCGUAUCCUCUGUGAAAACCAAGGCAAGAAACAGGAUGCAGCUGACGAUCCUUGAUGCCAUAGUCAGAACCAGGUCAGAACUGCUGCUUUCGGGCAAAUGCUGCAAAGACUUUACUGCCUUGCAUCCCAGGAUUUGUAGUUUGUUGGAACAAAAAAAAAAAGUACCAAUCUUGUUUUAUUACUUACUAAGGCGUUUUACAGGUGAAACUCGAAAAAUUAGAAUAUCGUGCAAAAGUUCAUUAAUUUCAGUAAUGCAAAUUAAAAGGUGAAACUGAUAUAUGAGAUAGACGCAUUACAUGCAAAGCGAAAUAAGUCAAGCCUUAAUUUGUUAUAAUUGUGAUGAUCAUGGCGUACAGCUCAUGAGAACCCCAAAUCCACAAUCCCAGAAAAUUAGAAUAUUGUGAAAAGGUUCAACAGUCUAGGCUCCAGGUGUCCCACUCCAAUCAGCUAAUCAAUCCAUAACACCUGCAAAGGGUUCCUGAGCCUUUAAAUGGUCUCAGUCUGGUUCAUUAGGAAUUACAAUCAUGGGAAAGACUGCUGACUUGACAGUUGUGCAGAAAACCAUCAUUGACACCCUCCAUAAGGAGGGAAAGCCUCAAAAGGUAAUUGCAAAAGAAGCUGGAUGUUCCCAAAGUGCUGUAUCAAAGCACAUUAAUAGAAAGUUAUGUGGAAGGGAAAAGUGUGGAAGAAAAAGGUGCACAAGCAGCAGGGAUGACCGCAGCCUGGAGAGGAUUGUCAGGAAAAGGCCAUUCAAAAGUGUUGGGGACUUUCACAAGGAAUGGACUGAGGCUGGAGUUAGUGCAUCAAGAGCCACCACACACAGAUGGAUCCUGGACAUGGGCUUCAAAUGUCGUAUUCCUCUUGUCAAGCCGCUCCUGAACAACAAACAACGUCAGAAGCGUCUUACCUGGGCUCAAGAAAAAAAAGAACUGGUCUGUUGCUCAGUGGUCCAAAGUCCUCUUUUCUGAUGAGAGCAACUUUUGCAUCUCAUUUGGAAACCAAGGACCCAGAGUCUGGAGGAAGAAUGGAGAGGCACACAAUGCAAGAUGCUUGAAGUCCAGUGUGAAGUUUCCACAGUCUGUGUUGAUUUGGGGAGCCAUGUCAUCUGCUGGUGUUGGUCCACUAUGCUUCAUUAAGUCCAGGGUCAACACAGCCGUCUACCAGGAGAUUUUGGAGCACUUCAUGCUUCCUUCCGCAGAUGAGCUGUAUGGGGAUGCUGACUUCAUUUUCCAGCAGGACUUGGCACCUGCCCACACUGCCAAAAGUACCAAAACCUGAUUCAUUGACCAUGGGAUUACUGUGCUUGAUUGGCCAGCAAACUCGCCUGACCUGAACCCCAUAGAGAAUCUAUGGGCCAUUGCCAAGAGAAGGAUGAGAGACAUGAGACCAAACAAUGCAGAAGAGCUGAAGGCCACUAUUGAAGCAUCCUGGUCUUCCAUAACACCUCAGCAGUGCCACAGGCUGAUAGCAUCCAUGCCACGCCGCAUUGAGGCAGUAAUUGCUGCAAAAGGGGCCCAAACCAAGUACUGAAUACACAUGCAUGCUUAUACUUUUCAGAGGUCCGAUAUUGUUCUAUUUACAAUCCUUGUUUUAUUGGUUUCAUGUAAUAUUCUAAUUUUCUGGGAUUGUGGAUUUGGGGUUUUCAUGAGCUGUACGCCAUGAUCAUCACAAUUAUAACAAAUUAAGGCUUGACUUAUCUCGCUUUGCAUGUAAUGCGUCUAUCUCAUAUAUCAGUUUCACCUUUUAAUUUGCAUUACUGAAAUUAAUGAACUUUUGCACGAUAUUCUAAUUUUUCGAGUUUCACCUGUAUAUACUCUUGUCCUAGCUCAUGCUAACUUAAGCCACUUCCUCCCGCUGUAAAGUUUGCAUUCUAGAAAAGUUCAAACAGAGCCAGUUCCAGGUUUUGGAGAAGCCUUGUCAACAUGCCUUUGGUUUGUGGGACCCCAUGUUCCUCCUGGCCGAAAGGUCUCACUGCCUGGAAAGGGAUUCAUCUUGCUUUUACUCUCUGUGGGCGGCUAUACUUAGGAGCAUUCUCCCUUGCUGGGCAAGCAGGAGCUUCUCAAUGCACCUCCCCCACCAGGAAAGAUCAAGCAGAGGGGCUCUACAACCCUCCACUGGCUUGCUUUCUCCAUCACCUGCUACGCUCUCUUGCUUGCCUGUUCUCUCUCUCUCAGAGGACCAAACCUCACCACAGUUCCACUCAGAGGGAGAAGGUAAAUGGAUGGUAAAGUGUCGGCUGCUUGCUUCUUGCUGAUGCUGCCUAUGCUUGCUUGCUCACCCGAGCACUUUCAGCAGGCAGCAUAUCAAAGAGGAGGAGGCCUACCUAUCCGAGGAGACCCCCAAACCCGACAAGAGGGCCUCCAACCCAUGCUGAAGGAUGGUGCUCCUCAGUUUGGUCAGGGGUCAGCCUUGGUGGACUCUCUUUCUGGAUAGUACAGCAGUUGGGUUUGGAGCAGAGAAGACCCCUGUCCUCACUACCAUGCUAUCCAGAGAACAACUGGCAAGCCUUGUCCACCAGUGGACCCAAUCCUAAAUGUCCCAUUGGUUGUCCCUUGUUCACUGCCACCCCUGUUCACUCCCGGAUCUCCUCUGGACUACUUAGCAAUGUGGAGAAUUUUCUGGAUGAUGAUGAUGAUGCAGCUUACUGCUGUGCUACCUAGAGAGAGAGAGUGAUGGGCAGCAGGUGCUCCUGACUGCCUACGACCACUACUCAUCCGCAUUCUCUCAGCAGGCCUAUCCUCACCACCACACUGCCUAGAGGAAGUUGGCAACUGCUCUUUGCCCUCAAUUAAUGAACUAAAUAUUGCAGCCCUAGUUCCAAGGUUUCCAGAGGGCAUCAGUUAUUUGUGUGGUGGUGGUGGUUAAAGGGGCAUGGAUGAAGUUUGAUAUCUUCUCUACUAUGGGAUUAAGUGGAAGUGUUUGACACUCAGCUAUUAUAUUAAGGAUCCCCAAUGGCAAUUGGAAAGCACGGCUUCCUUUUGAGAAGCCACAUGAACACAUGUUAUCUUCUGAAUGGCUACAUAAAUUGGAAGGGCUAUACCAGGAAACUAAUAGUGAUUUUCUGGAUAGGGAGUGUCUCCAGAUGUUUGUUUAUCAUAUUUAUAUACCACCUGAUUUCCCAACAGUUGCCUUGCUGUCAAGCCAAAUUAUAAUCUUUUUAAAAAAGAAAUCUGUAUAAUUUAUAUAAGUACUAGCUGAACCUGCACAGAGCAUCUGUGUGCUAGGACUUUUUUCUCUCUUCUUGCCCCCGCCCCGCACAACCCCUGCUUUAUUGCUCAGUUUCAGCCACUCACUCUCAGCCUCCCCCUCCCUGCCACUCGCUUGCUCCCUGCUCGCUCAAUCACUUGCCCUCUCCCCAAUGCUCACUCACUCACCCCCUCUCUGAUGCUCACUCGCUCCCCUAUGCUUGCUUUCUCACUCACUCCCUUCUCGCUCGCUUGCUCACUCGCCCCCCCUGCUCACCCACUCACUCGCCCCUUGCCCACUUGCUCACCAACUUGCCUGCUCACUCACCCCCCUGCUCACUUGCUCAUCUCUCCCCACCACUUGUUCACUCGCUCACCCCUUCCCCAAUCACUCACUUGCCCCCUUCCCACUCACUCACUCAUGCCCUACCCACUCCUCCUCAGUAUAGAAGAGGGAAUAUAGAACUGCAUAUAAAAACCCCACUGCUCAAUCUCCACAGCGCUCCUGCUCUGUUACCUCCAAUUGGUAAAGUACUUUGUGGAUGGGGCUUGCCACGUACAUCCUUAGCAGGUGUGUGUGUGUAUACACACACACACACACACACACCACACACACAGAGUUGGAGAAAUAUAUAGUGCCAUCAAGUUGGUGUCGAUUCUUAGUGCCGACCACAUAGAUUCUCUCCAGGAUGAUCUGUCUUCAACUUGGCCUUUAAAGUCUCUCAGUGGUGCAUUCAUUGCUGUCAUAAUCAAGUCCAUCCACCAGGCUGCUGGUCACCUUCUUCUUCUCUUUCCUUCAACUUUUCCCAGCAUUAUGGACUUCUCAAGGGAGCUGGAUUUUUGCAUAAUGUCUCUGAAGUAUGAUAGUUUGAGCCUGGUCAUUUAUGCCUCGAGUGAAAAUUCUGUAUUGAUUUAUUCUGUGAUCCAUUUAUUUGUUUUCCUGACUAUCCUGGGUAUUCUCAAAAGUCUUCUCCAGCACCAAAGUUCAAAAGCAUAAAUGCUUUUUCUAUCUUGCUUCUUCAAAGUCCAGCUUUUGCAUCCAUAGAGUGUCACGGGAAAAACCAUUGUCUGAACAAUUCUAAUCUUUGUAGGUACAGACAAAAAUAUAUCUAUUAUAGAUAUAGAUAUACUGAAUCUUCUGAAAGGCAGCAGAAAUGCACUGGCCAUAGAACUCAGAGGAUGAUUAUUAGUUGGUUAUACAGUAAUGCUUAGAGAGUGCCCCAAGUUUCCAAAGUGAUGCUUUGGUGAGAAGUCAUAUAAACACCUUUUCCUGCUGAAUAGCUAUAGAAAUGAAUGGAAAGAAGACACUAAAUUGUUUUAACAAUUUAACAAAUUGUUUUGUUAAACAACAAACAAACCAAAUUGUUUUAACAAUUGCAAAAUUGUUUUAUGAAACCUACAGGACCCUCCUCCCAUCUAAUCAUAUAGCCACAUGAAUAAUAAGUUAGCCACAUAAUGGUUAAUGCAUGAGUGAAGUGUCACCUCAAGGUCCUGGAGAGGCCUUCAUGCUUACUGUGCCACCUCUCCCCCUGCCACUCCAAAUUCCAGUGGAAUUUUUUUCAGGAGAAUUGUAAGAUCUCAAAAACUGAAUAACAGCAAAGUUAUGUUGAGUGAAGUGCUGGAAGACCAGAGGUGAGCAAAUUCCCUGUCUUCAAGAAGUGUUCUGCCUAGUAUGACUUACACAUCAUGGCAACCUUCUUGCAGUGAGUGGAGCACAGCUGGGAAGUCUCACAAAGGUAAAGAGGAGUUCUGGUUUUUGGUGCAGCUGGUGGGUUGCAGGUAUGGACAACAAGGGGUUCAGAACAGGGUGGGCUCAGAAAGGAACAGGUCUGGAGAGUAGCUUGACAGAAAACACAGGUAGCUGGAAGAAACAGCACCAGGAGGCUUUACAGACAGGGCUUCUACCCCGAAUCUCCUUCAGAAGAGUGUGUGCAUGCACAUACCAGCCAAACUUACCCCGAAGUCCAUUCAAGAUCCUUGGACCCACUCCACAUACAUAUCAGGUUUUGAUAUUAUGGAGCCAGCAUGGUGUAGUGGUUAGAGUGCUGGACUGCAACCAGGGAGACCCAAGUUCAAAUCCCCAUUCAGCCAUAAUACUUGCUGGGUGACUCUGGGCCAGUCACUUCUCUCUCAGCCUAACCUACUUCACAGGGUGGUUGUGAGGAGAAACUUAAGUAUGUAGUACACCGCUCUGGGCUCCUUUAUAUCCUCUGGGCAGGAUAUAAAAUGUAAAUAAUAAUAAUAAAUAAUAUGUCUUGUGAAUACUAGCUUAUCUCUAGCUUAUCUCUGCUGCCUGUUACCUGUGCCCAGCAGAUGAGGAGACCACUUUCCGUCUACCAGCAGGAGGGCACAGGGUGGGAGACUGUGUCUGACAACUGGGUGCUGCUGCUCUGCUGCUCUUGCCACCAGCAGCCUAAGAGACUUUACCUGCCACCUCUGCCGGGUGUGUGCAUGUUGGUAGGACUGGGGCCCUUGGGCUAUAAGACUGAGCAGUCUUGGCUCCACCUGCCCACCCCUGGGCUAUUUAAGAAGGCUGCCAGUGGCGGUGGGCCCGCCACUGGUGGGUAGAUACCAAAGGGGGUCGCCCCUUUGGGGAGCCACUUUGGUGAGAAACAAGGGCGAGGGCCAUCCCCCCCUGGUUCGGUUCCUUUGGGCUGGGGCGGGGGGAAUGCAUCUGGCCUGGUAAGGAUUGUUUUCAUUAUUUUGAGUCUGUCUGGAGAUGGGGAUAUGGAGGGGCAUGUCCACUGAUCUCAGGGUGACUAUUUCAGUGGUGAUGGGGAAUAGAAGAAGUUACGUUGGCACGUCAGCAGGGGAAGGGAAAUCAGGGGAAGGGAAAUUACAGGGGAAGGGAAAUCAGAAACUUAAUAGCUGUUUCCCCUUCCGGCUGCCCUGUCAGCUCUUUGACCUCGGGGAGCAGUGCCAACUACUCACAGAGCCAUGCCUUGCUCCUCUUUAAUGCCAGGUCAGUCCAAAAUAAAUCUGAAGUAAUCCAUUAUUUGAUCAUGGAUGAAGGGGCUGACCUGGUGUGUAUUACAGAGACUGGGUUGGGGGAAGCUGGUGGCUGAGUUUGGGCCCAGCUUCUCCCUCCAGGAUACUCUGUUGAGGAGGAGGUGAGGGAAUGUGGGCGAGGAGGUGGAGUAGCUGUGGUCUUUAAGGAUAAUAUCUCCCUUACCAGAAUCCCUGUCAGAACAUCUGGUCUUAUCGAGUGUGUGUACUUGCGCUUGGGAACCAGAGAUAGAUUGGGACUCCUGUUGGUGUACCGAUCACCCCGCUGCCCAACAGAGUCCCUAACUGAGCUUGCGGACCUUUUUUUGGAUUUUGUGUUGGAGUGCCCCAGGCUUGUGGUGCUGGGGGACUUCCACGUCCACUUUGGGGCCGGGUUGUCUGGAGCAGCUCAGGAGUUCAUAGCGGCCAUGACAACCAUGGGCCUACUGCUGGUCACAUGCUUGAUCUGGUCUUUCACUCUGAUCAGGGUGGUGUUCCGUGGGCGGGGACUCCUUUGAUUUCCCCAUUGUAAUGGACGGACCACCAUCUGGUCAAGGUUGGACUUACAGUUACGUCCCACCUCUGCAGGGGUGAGGGGCCUAUUAUAAUGGCUCAUCCAAGAAGGUUAUUGGAUCCAAUACGAUUCCAGGAAGCCUUGGUUGGAUUUAAUGUUGGCUCAGCCGAUGAUCCUGUUGAUGCCUUGGUGGUGGAAAAUUGGAAUAAUAAACUUACCAGGGCAGUAGAUAUGAUCACUCCUAAGCGUCCUCUCUGACCCGCUUCAAAAAUGGCUCCUUGGUAUAUGGAAGAUCUGCAGGAACUGAAGAGGCAAGGUAGACAACUGGAACACAAGUGGAGGAAGACUCAACUUGAAUCUGACAGAUUACGACAUAGAGCACAUUUAAAGAUCUAUGCUCUGGCUAUACGUGCAGCAAAGAAGCAUUUCUUUUCUGCCCGUAUUGCUUCCACAAACUCAUGUCCAGCUGAGCUUUUUACGGUUGUGAGGGGACUAGUAGGACCCCAUGCUCCUUUGAAUCAAAAUUUGGAUCCAUCAGUUGCCCGCUAUGAUGCUUUUAAUGAGUUUUUCAUGGACAAAGUUUCUCGUAUUCGGGCUGAUUUAGAUCUCGACUCCACAGUUAGCGCAGUAUCAGAUGCAGCAGUAUCCAGCAACUCCUCUUGUGUGGUUAAACUGGAUCAGUUCCAGUUUGUGACUCCUGAGGAUGUGGACAAGCUGCAUGGAGUGGUGCGUCCUACCACCUAUCUACUUGAUUCUUGCCCAACGUGGCUUACACUAUAUGGCAGGGAGGUUGUUGUGGAGGGCCUGGUGGCAAUUAUUAAUGCCUCUCUGAGGGAGGGCAGGGUGUCCCCUUGUUUAAAGGAGGCAAUUAUUAGACCUAUUCUUAAGAAGACUAUCUUGGAUCUCUCAGAGUUUAAUAACUACAGGCCUGUCUCCAACCUCCCAUGGUUGGGUAAGGUGAUUUAGAAGGUGGUGGCCUCCCAGCUCCUGGCGGUCUUGGAAGAAACAUUUCAAACUGGCUUUUGGGUGGGCUACGGGGUGGAGACUCCCUUGGUCAGCAUGAUGGAUGAUCUCCAAUUAGGACUUGACAGAGGAAGUGUGACUCUGUUGGUCCUUUUGGAUCUCUCGGCAGCUUUCGAUACUAUCGACCAUAGUAUCCUUCUGGAACGUCUGAGGGAGUUGGGUGUAGGAGGCACUACUUUGUGGUGGUUCCGCUCCUAUCUCUUGGGCAGAUUCCAGAUGGUGUUGCUUGGAGACUGUUGCUCUUCAAAAUCUGAGCUUUUAUAUGGGGUCCCUCAGGGCUCCAUAUUGUCUCCAGUGCUUUUUAGCAUCUACAUGAAACUGCUGGGAGAGAUCAUCAGGGGAUUUGGAGCUGGGUGCUGUCAGUAUGCUAAUGACACCCAAAUCUAUUUCUCCAUGUCAACUUCAUCAGAAGAAGGCAUAUCCUCCCUGAAUGCCUGCCUGGAGGCGGUAAUGGGCUGGAUGAGGGGUAACAAACUGAGACUGAAUCCAGACAAGUCGGAAGUACCUGUUGUGCAGGGUCAUUACUUAGGAAAUGAUAUUGACCUGCCUGUUCUAGAUGGGGUCACACUUCCUCAGAAGGAACAGGUACGCAGUUUGGGAGUGCUUCUGGAUUCACGCCUCUCCCUGGAUUCUCAGGAUGAUGCAGUGGCCAGAAGUGCUUUUUAUCAGGUUCGGUUGAUACGCCAGCUGCGUCCGUUUCUUGAGAUUCAUGACCUCAGAACAGUAGUACAUUUGCUGGUAACCUCCAGACUUGAUUACUGCAAUGCUCUCUAUGUGGGGCUGCCUUUGUACGUAGUCCAGAAACUACAAUUAGUACAGAACGCGGCAGCCAGAUUGGUCUCCGGGUCAUCUCAAAGAGACCAUAUUACUCCUAUAUUACAGGAGUUACACUGGCUGCAAUAGGUUUCUGGGCAAAAUACAAAGUGCUGGUUAUAACAUAUAAAGCCCUAAACGGCUUAGGCCCACGGUAUUUAAGAGAGCAUCUUCUUCUGCACGAUCCCCAUCAUUCAAUGUGUUCAUCAGGAGAGGCUCGUCUGUGGCUACCUUCAAGUUGUUUGGUAGCCACUCAGGAAUGGGCCUUCUCCGUUGUCGCUCCAAGACUUUGGAAUGUGCUUCCUGCUGACAUAAGACUCUCCCCAUCUCAAGUGGUUUUUAAAAGAUUCUUGACUCAUUUUUUAACCAGGACUUUUAGCUUUUGUAAUUUUAAAAUUUUUUGUAAAUUGUUUUAGGCAGCUUUGGGGAGUUUUAAUUGAUUUUAAUGUUUUAUUUAUUUGUAUUGUUUUAUUAUUGUGAACCGCCCAAGACUUUGGUUUGGGGCGGUAUAAAAAUCUAUUAAAUAAAUAAAUAAAUAAAUAAAUAUCUCGA